rfam:Brachypodium distachyon strain Bd21 chromosome 3, whole genome shotgun sequence.
CAUGUACCCUCUCCGUCCCAUAUUAAGUGUCGAAAUAUUACAUAUAUCUAGACGCUUUGUAGGUAUAAAUACAUCAAUAUUUGGACAAAUUUGAGACACUUAAUAUGGGACGGAGAGAGUACAUG